rnacentral:rRNA from 1 species
UACGGAGGGUGCGAGCGUUGUCCGGAAUCAUUGGGCGUAAAGGGCGCGUAGGUGGCGGGAUAAGCGUGCGGUGAAAGCUCGGGGCUCAACCCCGAGUCGGCCGUGCGAACUAUUCUGCUUGAGCACUGGAGAGGCGAGUGGAAUUCCGAGUGUAGAGGUGAAAUUCGUAGAUAUUCGGAAGAACACCAGUGGCGAAGGCGACUCGCUGGACAAGUAUUGACGCUGAGGUGCGAAAGCGUGGGGAGCAAACAGG